rnacentral:lncRNA from 1 species
GAUCUAGAUAUUUUGUCACCUGAAGCAACAUUCGAAAAUGGUGCUCCCUUCUCUUCACUCAUACACAUUAAUACAUAAACAUAGUUGGCUAGAUUGCUUGCAUGGAAACAUCUCAGCUUUCCACUCUGGAGGACCCAGGUUUGAGUCUUGGGUCUGAUUCCUUGAAAAUGUUUAUCAUGGACUCCAGGCCCAAUCCAUUUAUCCCCAUCCUUCACAAUCCUGCUGACCCUCUGCAGGGGUGGACAGCUUGUGGAAGGGCUUGUUUCACCCUGUCACAUAGUGUUCUAAUAGAAUGGAAAAUGGCCCCAU